UGCUGUUUUUGUGAUAGUGAACAAGUCUCAUGAGAUCUGAUGGUUUUGAAAAGGGGAGUUUCCCUGCACAAGCUCUCUUCUCUUGUCUGCUUCCAGGUGAGACAUGCCUUUCACCUUCUGCCAUGAUUGUGAGGCCUCUCCAGCCAUGUGGAACUGUGAACACACAGUGUUCAUCCCCUCAGGAGGACACAGCUUUUGAGGUACCAUCUUGGAAGCAGAGACCAGCCCUCACUAGACACAAACUUCCUGGCACGUUGAUUUUGGACUUCAUAGCCUCUAGAACUGUGAGAAAUAAAUUUUUAUUAUUUAUAAAUUACCCUGUAUUGGAUAUUUUGUUAUAGCAGCACAAAAGGUCUAAGACAAUGACUGAAGGACGGAGCUAUAGGACUCAAAAGACCCUGGUCUUGAAGCCAGAAAGACCUGGCUUUGCCAGUAGCAUGGUAUUUCAAUUAAGUAUGAUUAAACACUCUUCGAGGGAAUAGAAAGGGGAAGGAAGAAUGGAGAUGGAUCAUUUGUUUCAUGCCUUUUACUUACGUGUAAGGAAUUAUGAGCAGGUGCCUAUGGAUUUUGGAAUAUGCUUCUCUAACACUAUAAAAAUUAGAAAGUGAAACUUAUAGCCACAAAUGUCCAUUUAAAAUUUCUAAUGACAAUGGAAGAAAUUAUUUAGACUCUCUCCUAAACUAUUACACCAUACAUCAUUGCAAAACAUUUUUUUUCAUUUUGCCCAACCUCCACUCCUGUCAUUCCACCACUCCUAUAGUAUCUAAAAUAUAGUUUCUUUUAGAGAGAUUGGUGCACCACUCAACUUGUCAGCUUGAGGGCUUUGAAUGGUGUUUUCUUUUUUUUUUUUAAUUUCAUGGCAAGCUGACUUACAAGUGACUCAACUGUAAGCUAAGACUUAUUAAUAGCAUGGUUUAACCACCAAAGAUAAUGAAUUCAAACAAUGUUACUCACAGCCUUUAAUGUCACAGCCCCUAAAAACAUUGAAAUGUACAUUUUUCACCUGCUAGUCAUCUUCAGUAUUCUGGAGAGGAAAUAUUCUUUCCUGUCCUUACAGUGGUUGUAUAUCUUAAAAGACGACUAUAUGACACUUGAAUAUUGAUAUUCAACCUUAACCAAAGCAGUCACAAGAAUACAAGCCAUUGACCUCUGGCCUUUUAGAUAUGUUCCCAACAAGUUCAUGUGUACCCAAUGAAAAAUGUUAAAUAAACUGAUAAACUUUAAACAUUUAAAAAUAUUUUAUUUAUUUACUUGCCACAGCUAGAUAAGAGGAACUGGGUUAAUUUUGAAACUCUCAGCUUCCUUUCCUCUAAACCAGUAGCUAUUGCUGGCCACUAGUAUGUUGUUUCCUUUGCAGGAAGUUGCAAAAAUGAGAAAGAAAAAAACGAAAAACAAAACCAAGUUGGUAUUAUUUUUAGCUUUCUUCUUAUUUGGAUAUAGCUACAGUUCUUUUUCUUAUGGUGAUUAACAUAACUAUUCAAGAGAGAAGAACCAAGCAAAGGGGAGUAGUAGGGAAUUAGUAGGGAAUUGUGCCAAAGGACAUAUGGCAAGGUUAUUGUCAGAAAGCUGAGCUGCUGAAAUCCAGACAGUUUAAGAGCUUAUCUGCUCUGCUCUGCUCCACCUAGGAGGACUCCUACUACAAUGCAAAGACUCAAGUUUCACCUUAAUUAGGUCUUUCCCAGGCCAGGUAUUAGUGACCUUGGGAAAAAAGUUUAAGCUUCUCAGCUUCAGAUCUUCCUCUGAAUAUUAGCACUGUGGUAAUUGGCACAGUGGUACCUAACCCUUUGAGGGUCCAGGAUUGUUUUAAUGGUGAGUGAUUUACAAACUGAGUUUAAAAGAGCAAGGAGGAUCCAAUUUCGCAAAAUUUCAUUAACUCUGCUUAAGAAAACAGUAUAUUAUAUUAGCUUAGAUCAGGAGUUGGGAAUCUAUAGCCUGCUACCAUUUAUUGUGUAGCCUGCAAAUGGUUUUUACAUUUUUAAUACAUUGGAAAAAAAAUUAAAGAAGAUUAUUAUUUCGUGAUGUGAAAAUUAUACAUGUUGAAAGGAAAACUUUAGAGUUUAAUUGAGUAAAGAAUGAUCUGUGAAUUAGGCAGCCCCCAGAACCAGAGUAGGGUUGGUUACAGCUGAGCAUUUGCCUUAUUUGAACCUGGUUUGAAGAGUUGGCUGCCUGUGGUUGGCUGAAGUUCAGCUGCUGUGAUUGGCUGAGACUCACUACUUGUUACAAGAGUAGGUUACAUAUCAAGUUUUACAUAUCAAGUUGAAAUAUAGUUUUUUAUGUACUGGGAAACCUUUAGGGUAAACUUAAAUUAUGUAAGGAGGCAGCUUUAGGCCACAAUGAAUUUAACAAUUCCUCCUUUUGGUCAACCUGUCAAUUUUGAGAGGAUGAUUAAUUUUGAGGUUGCCCAAAACUUUAGGCACUGACAUCACUUUUUAUCAUCAUAAAUAGAGUUAUUUGGUCUCUAAUCCCAUUGGAAAAUAGCAGAACACUGGAUUUUGUAAGGUGGGAACAAGGAAACAGUAUAGAAAAAAAAACUGAUUGGUUAACAUCAGAUUACUUUUUUAUUUUUUUGUCACCCAGGAUGGAGUGCAGUGGCACAAUCUUGGCUCACUGCAACCUCACCUUUCGGGUUCAAGCAAUUCUUCUGCCUCAACCUCCCAAGUAGCUGGGACUACAGGCGUGUGCCACCACACCCAGCUAAUUUUUGUAUUUUUAGUAUAGACGGGGUUUUGCCACGUUGGCCAAGCUGAUCUCAAGCUCCUGACCUCAGGUGAUCCACCCGCCCUGGCUUUCCAAAGCGCUGGGAUUACAGGCAUGAGCCACUGUGUCUGGCUGAGAUUGCUUUUUUGUAAGUAAUCUGUUGUUACUUUGGGUUACUUUUCUGUAAGGGAUAGAGCAGAGGGGACUUCCUUAUUAUACUGGAAUCUUCUGUCUUCAGGAGAAGAAAAAAAAAAACUCGUCUAUUUUGGGACCUGUUUUUUAAAGUUUUAGUUUGAUUUUGUGGUGCUUAGCAUGAGCGACUCCAUUUUGGUUUGGUCUGGUCUGCUUGGGAUUAGUGCAGGAGCUCAGUCCAAAACAAUGGCCUCUCAUAAUUUUGUUUAAUACAUGAAAUUCAAAUUUCAAACUUGUAGACAUUUGCUCUCUCUCUUAUUAUAUAAGUACCUACACAAUGUCCUCAAAUUUGCUUUUUGAUCUGUAAAGACUAAGAUAUUUAUCAUCUAGUUUUACAGAAGAGUUUGCAGAUCUUCUGGUUUAAAAGAGCAGGAGAUUUAGUGUCAGGCAGGUUUGGAUUGAGCCCAAGGGCUGCCAUUUACUGAUUGUAUGACUUUGAGCAAGGUAUUUAUCUUUUCUAAGCCUCAAUUUCCUCAUCUAUAAAAUGGGCACACAAAUAGUAUUUACCUUGGAGAGUUAAAUGGGAUAAUGCAUUUAAUGUGCUUAACACAGUGCCUAUCAGAUGCUUAGGGGCUCAAAACAUUAUUAUUGUUGUUGCUGUUGUUGUUUUACCCUAAAGUAAAUGAGACAAAAUAGCAAAGCUAGAUGAGGAGGAAUUUUUAAGAUACAUCAGAAACUGUAAUAGAUUCUAAAAUAUUAUAAUUAAGAAAUUUCAUACUUAUUUAAAAAGGCAUUUUCAAUUUAACAAUUUAACAAUUUAACCCUCUUAUAAGUUAAAAAAAAAAAAAAAGCCCGGCACAGUGGCUCACGCCUGUAAUCCCAGCUCUUUAGGAGGCUGAGGUGGAUGGAUCAGGAGGUCAGGAGUUCAAGACCAGCCUGGCUAACGUGGUGAAACCUCGUCUCUACUAAAAAUACAAAAAUUAGCUGGGGGUGGUGGUGCAUACCUGUAAUCCCAGCUACUCAGGAAGCUGAGGCAGGAGAAUCGCUUGAACCCGGAGGCAGAGGUUGCAGUGAGCCAAGAUCGUGCCACUGCACUCCAGCCUCGGCAACAGAGCAAGACUCCAUCUCAAAAAGAAAAAAGAAAUAAAAAUAAAAAGUCAUGCCCAGCUAUUUUGGGAGAACUGAAAUUACAACUCUAUCUGAGAAAAUAAAAUGACAGGACUCCACAGAAUCCAUAGAUAAAAAUUUAACUGAAGAGGAAUAUGGAACAGACUAAAGGAAAAAUUUUAUCAAGCUGUAAUCUUUAUACUUGUGCCUAAGGCCAGAACUUGAAACUGCUGAAGACAGUGUUUCUCUACAAAUGCACACAGGCACCCCAUUUUGAUGCACAGAUAGGUGUUUAUUUCUUUUAAGAAUAGCAGCUUUAUUGAGAUAAAUUUCACAUAUGAUACAAUUCACCAAUUUAAAGUGUACAAGUCAAUGGUUUUCAGUAUAAUCAGAGUUGUACUACCAUCACCAUAAUCAAUUUUAGAACAUUUUCAUCACCGCCCAAAAACCACUGUAGUCUCUCCCCAGUCCUCCACUCCUGGGAACCAUUAAUGUACUUUCUGUCUCUAUAGAUUUGCCUAUUUUGGUUAUUUUAUAUAAAUGGAAUCAUACAACA